UAGAGAUGUAUUUGUACAGAACACGUGUUAGAAAACGCGCCGUUAGAUUUAUCAUCACAACGUUUUAAUGAUGUGGUGGUAAAAUUUUACUUUGCCAAAGUGGUGACAAUGUUAAUAGAAAAGUAAAAAAAAAGAAAAAAAAAAAAGUCAAAGUCAAAGUGAAAGUGAAAGUAUAAGAUAACAUUCAGAAACUGUUCUCGGUGUCGGACGGUGUGAAAACUACUGGACUGCGUUUCUUUGUUGAACAGCGGAUGAAAUCUGCUCUUUUAGCGGUUAGAAAUGAUGAUGUUUAAGCUGCUUUUUUGGACUGGAUGCUACAGUCUGCUGUCAGUCACGGAACAAGUUACAGGCAGGCAAACGAUUAGCAAGCUGCUCUGCUAAAACAUCAGGCAUGUCUGAAAAGACACAAGAGCAUCCGAAGCAGAUGCUGCCAGACCCCCCUCCCCUCCUGAACACGUCCAGGUGGCCCCUGAGGAACGAGGUGAGCAGCUGAGUGUUGAAUUAAUUUAUUAUU